rnacentral:rRNA from 1 species
CCUACGUGGGGCUGCAGUGAGGAAUAUUUGUCAAUGGGCGCGAGCCUGAACCCGCCAAGUAGCGUGAAGGAUGACUGCCCUACGGGUUGUAAACUUCUUUUAUAAAGGAAUCAAGUGAGGCACGUGUGCCUUUUUGUAUGUACUUUAUGAAUAAGGAUCGGCUCACUCCGUGCCAUCAGCCGCGGUAAUACGGAGGAUCCGAGCGUUAUCCGGAUUUAUUGGGGGUAAAGGGAGCGUAGAUGGGUUGUUAAGUCAGUUGUGAAAGUGUGCGGCUCAACCGUAAAAUUGCAAUUGAUACUGGCAGCCUUGAGUACAGUUGAGGUAGGCGGAAUUCGUGGUGUAGCGGUGAAAUGCUUAGAUAUCACGAAGAACUCCGAUUGCGAAGGCAGCUAACUAAACUGCCACUGACAUUGAUGCUCGAAAGUGUGGGUAUCAAACAGGAUUAGAUACCCGAGUAGUC